UGGAGCGGUAUAGCAGUCCCAUUUUUUGUGAACGUUCGUGUGAUAGAUCUAUAGUCGCUCGAUUCUCCUAAGUUGUACCUGCAAUCCUAUGGGCAACUGUUCUUUCUCAUAAAUCAAGGAGCCUAUCAUAGGAGUCUUCCCACAACUGGGACAAGAUAGUAGAAGUAGCAGACCGAUCCACACUAGGAGUAGAGUAAUUGAUCACCUGUUCUACAGAUGGUCGAACAACAGAACUAGGGGUUCACCUGCACGUGGUUGAUUACUCUACUCCUGAUGCGGAUCGAUCGAUUAGCAAAAAUAGGGGUUCAUCACCUGCUCUUGGUCGACUACUCUACUCCAUGGAUCGGGUUCGCUAUUUCUAGCGAUCUAUUCUAAUCGAUUUGCUACUUCCAUCGAUAUAUCCUAUCCUGGGAAAACUCCUGUGAUGGAAUCCUCGAUUCUUCUUGCCUAUGCAACCUAAGAGGUCCAAACAAUUGCAGCUUGUACAAAAUCUACGAAGGAGGUCCAAACAAUUGUAGUUUGUACAAAAUCUACCACAUAGAAGAUUACACUGGAAAUGCGGCUCCUCUACCACUUCACGCGAUAAAGUUGUAGGGAUUUAAAGCAAAAAGUAAUUAAAAGGCGUGAUUUUUUACUGGAUCUGCUGUUCAGCGUAGGCACGUGGAAGUUUAACUUUUCCAUGUCCGGAGAUCUUGGGAGUUGAAGCGGAAGUUCCAGCCAUGAGUCGAAGUCUCGAAAGUCCGAUCACGGAUGCUUCAUCAUAUGAUCAUUGUUGAUCUUUUCGGAUAAGAUGAUUUGUUAGACCAAUUUGAUUUGGCUAACUAAUAGUAGUCUACUAAUAGUAGGAAACAUGCGGUAUUAUUGAUAGUAGAAGCUGAAUAGGAAACAAAAAGAGAGAAAAAGCCGGAUUCCUGUUUGAUUAGGAGUUGGCCAGCAACAAUUUCGGGAUGAAAUCUUUUGAAGUAUCAGGCCGUCACUUGUUUUUCGGCCGAGUCUUCUUUCAUUAGUCUUUAGGCAAAAAACCAAUUGUUAUCAAUGGAGUCCUACGGAUUUCCCUUGAAAAUGCGUAGCUAAAUCUCCAUUUUCUA